rnacentral:lncRNA from 1 species
CAAGGUGAGGUCAACAUUGAUGGGGGGAGCUCGGAAGUGCUUAUAGGCAAGGUCGGCACUAUCGGGGCUGAAUGGGAAAGAGUUCUUGAAGGCAGCGGGAAAGUAGAGGUCCUUCCAUGGUUGGACGGCCGACUAGGUGAGGAUCUUGAUUGAUCGAGAUCUAGAUCCAGUCAGUCCGGAGUGGAUAUUGAAGCUAUGGAUGGAGUGGAUAGGGGGUAGUUGCAGUCAAGUGGACGUACCGAGCGAGAUGAGCCCAAAUCUAUCCAUAGAUAAGCUCAAUGCCAUUAGGGGUGGUCUCGACGUCGUCUGC